rnacentral:rRNA from 1 species
UAGCUCACUGCUCGAGCACCCCGGUACCGACAAUCCAACGGGGCUUAAGCAUAGUGCCGAAGUUACGGAUGCAUCAUCUUAGGAUGAUGCGUGGUAGGAGAGCAUUCCCACAGCAGUGAAGGUCGACCGUGAGGACGGCUGGAGCGGUGGGAAGAGACUCUGCCAGCAUAGGUAGCGAUAAACCAGGUGAGAACCCUGGUCGCCGUAAGUCUAAGGUUUCCUGAGAAAGGUUAAUCCGCUCAGGGUUAGUCAGUGCCUAAGGCGAGGCCGAUAGGCGUAGCCGAUGGACACACGGUUAAUAUUCCGUGACCACCAAAACUUGAUCAAGACCGAUGGGGGGACGCAGACCGUAAGCCUGGGGGCGAAAUGGUUACGAACCCAGGUGAAGGGAGAUCCGGAAAGGCAAAUCCGCCGGAUCGUCUGCCAGGAAAAUCCUCUAAGGAGAGUUAGGUGACUGUACCACAAACGGACACACGUGGACGAGAUGAGUAUUCUCAGGCGCUCAGGUGAUGAGUUGUUAAGGAACUAGGCAAAUUAACCCCGUAACUUCGGGAGAAGGGGUGCCCAUGCUAAUGGGCCGCAGUGAAUAGCGUCAGGCGACUGUUUAACAAAAACACAGGUCUCUGCUAAGUCGAAAACGAUGUAUAGGGGCUGACGCCUGCCCGGUGCCGGAAGGUUAAAGGGAGUGGUUAGCGCAAGCGAAGCUACGAACUGAAGCCCCGGUGAACGGCGGCCGUAACUAUAACGGUCCUAAGGUAGCAAAUUCCUUGUCGGGUAAGUUCCGACCUGCACGAAUGGCGUAACGAUCUGACGACUGUCUCAACAACUCGCCCGGCGAAUUUGUGGUUCCGGUGCAGACGCCGGAUGCCCGCCACAAGACGGAAAGACCCCGUGCACCUUUACUAUACCCUACCAGUGAAUUAUGGGUUGGACUGCGCAGGAUAGGUGGGAGGCUUUGAUAUCGGGUUUUUGGACUCGAUGGAGCCAACGGUGAGAUACCACCCUGUGUAAUCUGUGAUUCUAACCUGCUUCCAUGAUCUGGAAGAGGGACACUGGUAGGCGGGUAGUUUGACUGGGGCGGUCGCCUCCUAAAUUGUAACGGAGGCGCUCGAAGCUGCGUUCAGGUGGUUUGGAAAUCCACCGACGAGUGCAAAGGCAUAAACGCGGUUACUGCGAGACCUACAAGUCAAGCAGGUGGGAAACCAGGACUUAGUGAUCCGGUGGUUCUGUAUGGAAGGGCCAUCGCUCAACGGAUAAAAAGUACGCCGGGGAUAACAGGCUGAUCGGAGUCAAGAGUUCACAUCGACGCUCCGGUUUGGCACCUCGAUGUCGGUUCAUCGCAUCCCGGGGGUGUAGAAGUUCCCAAGGGUUAGGCUGUUCGCCUAUUAAAGCGGUACGUGAACUGGGUUCAGAACGUCGCGAGACAGUUCGGUCCCUAUCUGUGGUGGGCGCAGGAAAUUUGAGGGGGCUUGGCCUUAGUACGAGAGGACCGGGCUGAACGAACCUCUUGUGAUACAGUUGUCACUCCAGUGGCACAGCUGUGUAGCGAAGUUCGGUUAGGAUAAGCGCUGAAUGCAUAUAAGUGCGAAACCUUCCCCAAGAUGAGAUUUCCCAACCGUAAGGUAAUAAGGGCCGUGGAAGACUACCACGUUGAUAGGACGGGUGUGUAAGAGUAGUAAUACUUUGAGCUAACCGUUACUAAUAGCCCGUUCGGCUUGACCAU